CGCGGGGUGGAGCAGCCCGUAGCUCGUCGGGCCUCAUAACCCGAAGGUCGUCGUCGGUUCAAAUCCGGCCCCCGCAACCA
rnacentral:tRNA from 1 species